GGCGAAGUGGCGGGCGGGCUUACACAUGCAGUCGAACGGUAAGGCCCUUCGGGGUACACGAGUGGCGAACGGGUGAGUAACACGUGGGUGAUCUGCCCUGCACUUUGGGAUAAGCCUGGGAAACUGGGUCUAAUACCGAAUAGGACUCCGGACUGCAUGGUCUGGGGUGGAAAGCUUUUGCGGUGUGGGAUGGGCCCGCGGCCUAUCAGCUUGUUGGUGGGGUGAUGGCCUACCAAGGCGACGACGGGUAGCCGGCCUGAGAGGGUGACCGGCCACACUGGGACUGAGAUACGGCCCAGACUCCUACGGGAGGCAGCAGUGGGGAAUAUUGCACAAUGGGCGCAAGCCUGAUGCAGCGACGCCGCGUGGGGGAUGACGGCCUUCGGGUUGUAAACCUCUUUCAGCACAGACGAAGCGCAAGUGACGGUAUGUGCAGAAGAAGGACCGGCCAACUACGUGCCAGCAGCCGCGGUAAUACGUAGGGUCCGAGCGUUGUCCGGAAUUACUGGGCGUAAAGAGCUCGUAGGUGGUUUGUCGCGUUGUUCGUGAAAACUCACAACUCAAUUGUGGGCGUGCGGGCGAUACGGGCAGACUGGAGUACUGCAGGGGAGACUGGAAUUCCUGGUGUAGCGGUGGAAUGCGCAGGUAUCAGGAGGAACACCGGUGGCGAAGGCGGGUCUCUGGGCAGUAACUGACGCUGAGGAGCGAAAGCGUGGGGAGCGAACAGGAUUAGAUACCCUGGUAGUCCACGCCGUAAACGGUGGGUACUAGGUGUGGGUUUCCUUCCUUGGGAUCCGUGCCGUAGCUAACGCAUUAAGUACCCCGCCUGGGGAGUACGGCCGCAAGGCUAAAACUCAAAGAAAUUGACGGGGGCCCGCACAAGCGGCGGAGCAUGUGGAUUAAUUCGAUGCAACGCGAAGAACCUUACCUGGGUUUGACAUGCACAGGACGCCGGCAGAGAUGUCGGUUCCCUUGUGGCCUGUGUGCAGGUGGUGCAUGGCUGUCGUCAGCUCGUGUCGUGAGAUGUUUGGGUUAAGUCCCGCAACGAGCGCAACCCUUGUCCUAUGUUGCCAGCGGGUUAUGCCGGGGACUCCUAGGAGACUGCCGGGGUCACUCCGAGGAAAGGGGGGGGAUGAAGUCCAAUUCUUCCUGGCCCCUUAUGUUCCAGGGGUUCCCACAUGGUUAAAUGGGCCGGGAACAAAGGGUUGCCAUUCCGCCAGGGGUGGAGGGAAACCUCUUUAAAACACGGUCAAAUUUUAAAAAUGGGGGGUGGGAACUCAUUCCCGCGUUAGUAUGGAGGUCGUCGCCGAUAUAUAAUCAUAUACACCACUCGUGGGAGAAGGUGUCG
rnacentral:rRNA from 1 species